ACAUUUGGGUACUGAGGCUUUACCGGAAUGUGAACAGCGAGCAUCCAUGGCAAAAAACUCCCCCUUCACGUAGAAUAGGCAGACGUCAGACUCGUAGCCGUGGGAGGAGUACAUUAAACGGCAGCGCUUGUUGGAAAGCCCCGAUACCGGGCCUAUGAGUCUCCAUGAAACGCCAUCCGCGCUUCCCUCUUCAUCUCCGGAGCCAGAGGCCAUAAAGAGCGGCGAAAUGUGCUGGUUUUCUAAUUUGCGCUACUACAGAGCUCCUAUUAUCCGUCAGUGCAAGAGGAUUUGGCAGUCCGCUCUGUGAAAAUAUUCCAUAUUAACCACCAGGCCGACUAGUGCGACGGUCAGCCCUGCGGAUUGAGCUGCAGCCAGCCAGCCGGGACACCGUCACACCGAGGCACGCAGUGCGCUCUCCAGCACGGCUGCUCUUCAUUUGAACUACAUGUGAAUGAAAUUUGUUACAGAAAAAAUCCAAUAGAGGAAACAUGAAUCUACUGCAAUCUUACCAGAGAUAGCAGACUGUAAAGGAGGUGGCAUGAAAUACUGGACUGACAGCUGCUGCUGCAAAUUCCAUCCCUGACUCAAACUAAGUCCCCUCAUGGAUACUUCAAGCCUCACUGGUAUAUAUGUGUCCCAUAACAGCACUCUUAAAGGGACAUACUGUGCUUCCUGGAGGACAUUUUAUGAAAGAAUAUUACAGUCUGGAACAACAUAGAUCAGAGACUGGAUAAUGGAGGCCAAUAGCUUUCUUACAAAGUAAACAUAAAACUUGUGUGUGCGCGCGCGUGUGU